ensembl:snRNA U6 U6 spliceosomal RNA
GCUCAUUUUGGCUGCGCAUAUACUAAAACUGGAGCAAUACAGGGAAGAUUAGCAUGGCCCCUAUGCAAGGAUGACAUGCAAAUUUGUCAUGCAUUCCAUAUUAAA